AUGGUUGUGGUUCCGCGGUAGAGCACUCGCCUAGCAUGUGCAAGGCUCUGGGUUCGAUCCUCAGCAACACAUG
rnacentral:tRNA from 1 species